AUUAUGUAGAUGGCGCAUUGGUAACAUGCAGGAGAGAAUCAUCUAGCAUCCUUGUUGGUGAUGACACUGCCAUCUUAAAUUGGUUAGUGCUAUUGAUUGCAGGAGAGCUUCGUCGUCCAGUUAAUUACAGAUCGAAAAGUUACAAGCUUCAAGGGGGGCCAUUGCGUAGAUGAUGCAACGCGCAUGCGCGGAAGUUUCAUAUAUCUUCUUGACGAUGAAACCACCAUCUUUAAUUGCUGUGGCUAGUGACAGGAGAGCUUCGUCGUCCCGUUAAUUACAGGCUUCGCGGGACGCCAUUAUGAAGGUGAUGUACUACGUAUAUACAAGGGGUCCACAUACCUUCCUUGCUGAUAGAGAAUCCACCAUCUUGAAUUAAUUCGUGUCACGACUCGCAGGAGAGGCGUUCGUCGUCCCGUUAAUUACAAGUAAGUAGAUAUUUUUUUCUAACGUACACCGUUCAUUUAUAUAUCAAUCGAUAUCCAAUAACGCGAUUUCUAUGCUUGAGUACUUUCGAGUCGGGGAAUUGUCGCGUUUGAAAGAUAUUCGCGAAAAUCAAAAAUGACGCAAUCGCGUCCC